CCUACGGGAGGCAGCAGUGGGGAAUCUUGCGCAAUGGGCGAAAGCCUGACGCAGCCAUGCCGCGUGGAUGAUGAAGGUCUUAGGAUUGUAAAAUCCUUUCACCGGUGAAGAUAAUGACUGUAGCCGGAGAAGAAGCCCCGGCUAACUUCGUGCCAGCAGCCGCGGUAAUACGAAGGGGGCUAGCGUUGCUCGGAAUUACUGGGCGUAAAGGGAGCGUAGGCGGACAUUUAAGUCAGAGGUGAAAUCCCGGAGCUUAACUUCGGAACUGCCUUUGAUACUGGGUGUCUUGAGUGUGAGAGAGGUAUGUGGAACUCCGAGUGUAGAGGUGAAAUUCGUAGAUAUUCGGAAGAACACCAGUGGCGAAGGCGACAUACUGGCUCAUUACUGACGCUGAGGCUCGAAAGCGUGGGGAGCAAACAGGAUUAGAUACCCUGGUAGUCCACGCCGUAAACGAUGAUUGCUAGUUGUCGGGAAGCUUGCUUCUCGGUGACGCAGCUAACGCAUUAAGCAAUCCGCCGNGGGAGUACGGUCGCAGAUUAAACUUAAAGUAAGUAGACGGCGUGAGACGUGCCGACGACGACGACGAGGGAGGUAGG
rnacentral:rRNA from 1 species